rnacentral:rRNA from 1 species
CGCCUGUUUAUCAAAAACAUGUCUUUGAGAGUUUAUUUAAGGUCUGACCUGCUCAGUGAUUUUAUUAAAUAGCCGCGGUAUAUUAACUGUGCUAAGGUAGCAUAAUAAUUAGUCUUUUAAUUGAGGUCUAGAAUGAAUGGUUGAACGAGAAAUUUACUUUAUUGUUUUUAUUUUUUUUGAAUUUUAUUUAUUGGUUAAAAAGCCAUUAUGUUUAAGAGGGACGAUAAGACCCUGUAGAUCUUUAUAAUUUAAAUAAUUUUUAUUUUUUUGUGUUUGUUUUUUUUGUUAUUAUUUGAUUUAUUUUGUUGGGGUGACAGUUAAAAUUUUAAACUUUAGUUUUUUUUUACAUAUAUUUAUGGUUUGUUAGAUCUUUAAUUUUUGAUAUCAAGAUCAAGAUACCUCAGGGAUAACAGCGUUAUAGAUUUGGAGAGUUCUUAUUGAUAAAUUUGUUUGCGACCUCGAUGUUGGAUUAAAGUUUUACUGUGGGGUAGGUUUUACAGUUUUAGGUCUGUUCGACUUUAAAAUUUUACAUGAUCUGAGUUCAGACCGG